AUUGAACGCUGGCGGAAUGCUUUACACAUGCAAGUCGAGCGGCAGCACGGGGGUAACCCUGGUGGCGAGCGGCGAACGGGUGAGUAAUACAUCGGAACAUGCCCAGUCGUGGGGGAUAACACUUCGAAAGAAGUGCUAAUACCGCAUACGUCCUGAGGGAGAAAGCGGGGGAUCGCAAGACCUCGCGCGAUUGGAGUGGCCGAUGUCAGAUUAGCUAGUUGGUGGGGUAAAGGCCUACCAAGGCAACGAUCUGUAGCUGGUCUGAGAGGAUGAUCAGCCAACCGGGGAUGGGAAAAGGGCCAGGACCCUACGGGGGGGCAGAGGGGGGAAUUUUGGAAAAGGGGGGGAACCCUGAACCAAGCAUGCCGGGGGGGUGAAGAAGGGCCUCGGGUUGGAAAGGCUUUUCGGGAGGAAAGAAAAGGGGGGCUCUAAAAAAGCUUGCUAAUGACGGGACCUGAAGAAAAAGCAACGGGUAACUAAGG
rnacentral:rRNA from 1 species